AGGUGAAAAAAUUGAAGAAUUGCAUCAAUAGUUACAGAGAAUCGAUUUGCACGCAGAAACAGGUGCUCAAAGAUAAGGGAAUACAACAGCCAUCCAUGCUCCUUCCAUGUAAAGUUAGCAGCUGUUCGUGAUGCUUAUAGGCAUACACAAUCUAGUCUGGGCAUGUAAAACAGCAGCUGGUUCUAUUUUGAAAAUCUACAAAAUAGAGCUAAGGUCCUUUAAGCCAAGAAACUGCUAGUAUCUGAAGAGGACAAUUUAAGACAGGCCAUGAAAAUUGAUUAAAUGUCAAGUGGGGACAGUGAUUCUGUAAAUAAACUCGCCUGAACACAAAACCUCAGAUUUGACUGUCACAAGAUUUUAAAUCUUACAUGGUUAGACUAAAGUCAUUUACUAGACUGUAAAUACUAGAGACAGCUGAAUGCACAAGGACAAAAGCUGAGGUCUAAGUGAAUCAGAGAGGCCUUGUCACAAGAAAUGUUCAGAACUUGCAUGGUUUUUUUCCUUUAGGGCAUAUGACAAAAAAAUUGAGAGAUGUCAAUGAAAAUUUCUUUGAAUUUAAAAAAGGGCCAAUUCAAAGGUACACUUUUGGAAUUUGCAAGAACAAAAAUACCUUCAUGUUUACUUUUGAAUUAUAGUUGACAAUCUUCACUUUGCGGGGAACCUCUGAAAAUAAGUCAAAUGGAGGGGUUUGGUUUAUUGAAAUCGAUUAUUUUUUAAAGUAAAACAGAUGAAUUAUUGCUCUUUAAUUUCAACAUUUGCAUUUUACUAUUAAAAUUAUUUACAAGUGCAGCAUAUCGGUGACAUCAGAUUAUGGUAUUAUGUUUGGUUAAGCUACAUAUUUCUUUUUACUUAAACUUUCUG